GCCGUUUUCAAUAACCUAUCUAUCCCUAGUUUCGGUUACUAAAGAUAGACAAAUCUAUAUUUUUGUCCUUACUUACGUUCCAAUAACCUAUCGACGGGCAGCAGUUCCUAUCGGAUUUAUCUAUCCAUCGUCGGGAGGACGGAUAGCCUGCUAAAGAUAGAACGCUCAUACAAAUCGUGCUUACUUCCGUUUCAAUAUGAGUUUUAAGUAACUCUACGGUAGGCGGCGCUAUCUCUAGUAUGGGCAUUCGCUUAUCUGUCAAAAUCGGCCGGUUACAUGUUUAUCUUUCGAAAGUAAAUCGCUAUAAUUUAAUAAUUGUUUCUCUUCAUAUUGGCAUAUUGUAGCAGUGAUGAUAGUGAUAUGGAAUUAUUUCAAAUGAUAAUGGAUUGUGAUGCAGAUAGUGAUAGUGAGGCCGAUAUCAUAUGGUUAGGAAAAUAAAGAUCGUCUGAAUUACAUGGCGAAGAUCAAUAAUUACGAAUUUGACUAUAGAUUUCUGAGCAAAGGUGUUGUGAAUGAAUUGAUUAAUUUAAUGAGACCAUAUUUGAGUGUAACGUCAAAAAGAUUCAAAUAUAGGAGAGGAAUUUAGAAAUAGAAAAAGAGUAUUUUGAAUGUGUAAUUUGUGUGCAAUGCAUCAUUGAUGUUUCAAAAUGUUGUUGCUUGAUGGCCUGGGUCUACUCAUGAUACAACUAUAAUUAACCAUUCCGAUUGAAAAGAUGCAUUGGUGUUUGUAAAAGAAGACUGUAUUAUCAUUGAAAAGUAGAUUAAAACUAGAAAAUAUGCAAGCUGUUAUUAUAGCUGCCAUGCUGCAUAAUAUCGUCAGGAGUAUGAAUUUAGAAGAAUUAGAAUCAGAAAUUUCAGUCGCAGAUACAUUACAGGAAAAUAAUAUAAUUGUUCGUAACAAUUUUCCAGAACGUACAUUUGAAAUACAACUACUUAUAAAUAAUUGCUUCCAAAGAUAAUUUAUAAAAUAAACUCCAAUGAUAAUUUGACUAUUUUUUAUUUUCCAAAAUGAUAAUUACAUAGUGGUUAGUACAUGCAAGAUAUUUAAUUUAGAAUUUGUACAUAUACUUAAAAAACUAUCUAACAUAAAAUUAUUAUUGCCUACUUAAUUUAUGAAAUCCUUUUAAGUAAUUUUUAAUUUUUUAAUCUAGCAUUAUCUAAAUCUAACUUAAGUUUUGCUACAACAAUCUCCUUUUCUUCAUUUUCCAAAUCAAGCCUCUUUUUUGCUAUUAGAUAUUCUGCUAAUACAUUGCAUUUCUUUUCUUCCAUCUUGUUUCCGCUUGGCUGUAAAAGUGUUAAAAAUAUAUGUGACCUACAACAAUGUGCAUGCUUUAUCCAAAA